CAGUGGCAAGUGAUGAUUCCCGUAUCAAUGCUUUCCUGAUGUGCAGGCCAUGAGGGUUGCAUAGUCACUACCUCUUCUGAUGCCAUUG